AUGGUGCUAGUGAUUAAAUGUCAAAACAUAACGUUUAAAAAAAAUUUAAGUUUUUUUUUUAAAUUUCAAGUCAAAGAGGGGUGAAAAUUCUUUUUGUGCUUAAAUUAUCAGUUCAAAUUGAAAUAAAGAAUGUAUAAGUACAUGUAGUUAUAGUUCUUGAUUAUUGUAAAUAAUCGGUGUUGUAGUAGGUAAAAGUAGGCUUAUGUGUAACAUGAUGUGUUGUU
ensembl:ncRNA F38B6.14 ncRNA